GCUGGGAGUGGUGGUGCGCGCCUGUAGUCCCAACUACUCGGGAGGCUGAGGUGGGAGGAGCACUUGAGCCCAGGAGUUCUGGGCACUAAGUCUGGCACUAAGUUUGGCAUCAAUAUGGUGACCUCCCAGAGUGGAGGACCACCAGGUUGCUUAAGGGGGGUGAACCAGCCCAGGUCAGAAACAGAACAGGUCAAAACUCCCGUGCUGACCAGUAGUGGGAUCACGCCUGUGAAUAGCCACUGCACUCCAGGCAACAUAGAGAACCUUGUCUCU
rnacentral:SRP_RNA from 1 species